AGAGUUUGAUCCUGGCUCAGAUUGAACGCUGGCGGCAUGCCUUACACAUGCAAGUCGAACGGCAGCGGACCUUCGGGUGCCGGCGAGUGGCGAACGGGUGAGUAAUGUAUCGGAACGUACCUUUCAGUGGGGGAUAACGUAGCGAAAGUUACGCUAAUACCGCAUAUUCUGUGAGCAGGAAAGCAGGGGAUCGCAAGACCUUGCGCUGAUUGAGCGGCCGAUAUCAGAUUAGCUAGUUGGUGAGGUAAAGGCUCACCAAGGCGACGAUCUGUAGCGGGUCUGAGAGGAUGAUCCGCCACACUGGAACUGAGACACGGUCCAGACUCCUACGGGAGGCAGCAGUGAGGGAUUUUGCGCAAUGGGCGAAAGCCUGACGCAGCAACGCCGCGUGAGGGACGACGGCCUUCGGGUUGUAAACCUCUGUCAGCAGGGAAGAGAACGGACGUACCUGCUGAGGAAG
rnacentral:rRNA from 1 species